UACAGAGGGUGCGAGCGUUGUUCGGAAUUAUUGGGCGUAAAGGGCGCGUAGGCGGCGCGGUAAGUCACCUGUGAAAUCUCCUGGCUCAACUGGGAGCUUGCAGGCGAAACUGCCGUGCUGGAGUGUGGGAGAGGUGCGUGGAAUUCCUGGUGUAGCGGUGAAAUGCGUAGAUAUCAGGAGGAACACCGGUGGCGAAGGCGGGUCUCUGGGCCGUAACUGACGCUGAGGAGCGAAAGCGUGGGGAGCGAACAGG
rnacentral:rRNA from 1 species